UUAAUUAAACGGCCGCGGUACCCUAACCGCGCAAAGGUAGCACAAUCACUUGUCUCCUAAUUAGGGACUAGUAUGAAAGGACCCACGAGAGUUUAACUGUCUCCUUUUUUUAAUCUGUGAAACUAAUCUCCCUGUGAAAAAGCAGGGAUUUUAUUAUAAGACGAGAAGACCCUAUGGAGCUUUAGAUAAAGUAAUAUUUCCUUUUCCUCACUCUUUCCAGAAAACAUUAAUUAAAGUAUAUUAUUACAUACCUUCGGUUGGGGCGACCGCGGAGUAAAAUUUACCCUCCACGCUGAAUGGGAACCCCCCC
rnacentral:rRNA from 1 species